rnacentral:rRNA from 1 species
AACGCGAAGAACCUUACCUGGGCUCGAAGUGCCGGUGACCGCGGUGGAAACAUCGCUUUCCCGCAAGGGACACCGGUAGAGGUGCUGCAUGGCUGUCGUCAGCUCGUGCCGUGAGGUGUUGGGUUAAGUCCCGCAACGAGCGCAACCCUUACACUUAGUUGCCACCCGCAAGGGGGAACUCUAAGUGGACUGCUCCGGAUAACGGAGAGGAAGGUGGGGAUGACGUCAAGUCAGCAUGGCCUUUAUGUCCAGGGCUACACACGUGUUACAAUGCGCGCUACAAAGCGUCGCGAACCCGCGAGGGGGAGCUAAUCGCAAAAAAGCGCGCUCAGUUCGGAUUGCAGUCUGCAACUCGACUGCAUGAAGCCGGAAUCGCUAGUAAUGGCGUAUCAGAACGACGCCGUGAAUACGUUCCCGGGCCUUGUACACACCGACGCGUA